UCACCUCAUAAAAUAUUCGUUCCAUUGAAUGAAUGUAAAAACAUUCAUUAUUUGUUUUAUGUAACGGCUAAAACAAGUGCUUGUCAUUUAAUAUUAUAUUAAUUCAUAAA